rnacentral:rRNA from 1 species
GGAAGAAGCGAAAGUGACGGUACCUGCAGAAAAAGCGCCGGCUAACUACGUGCCAGCAGCCGCGGUAAUACGUAGGGCGCAAGCGUUAUCCGGAAUUAUUGGGCGUAAAGAGCUCGUAGGCGGUUUGUCGCGUCUGCUGUGAAAACCCGAGGCUCAACCUCGGGCCUGCAGUGGGUACGGGCAGACUAGAGUGCGGUAGGGGAGAUUGGAAUUCCUGGUGUAGCGGUGGAAUGCGCAGAUAUCAGGAGGAACACCGAUGGCGAAGGCAGAUCUCUGGGCCGUAACUGACGCUGAGGAGCGAAAGGGUGGGGAGCAAACAGGCUUAGAUACCCUGGUAGUCCACCCCGUAAACGUUGGGAACUAGUUGUGGGGUCCAUUCCACGGAUUCCGUGACGCAGCUAACGCAUUAAGUUCCCCGCCUGGGGAGUACGGCCGCAAGGCUAAAACUCAAAGGAAUUGACGGGGACCCGCACAAGCGGCGGAGCAUGCGGAUUAAUUCGAUGCAACGCGAAGAACCUUACCAAGGCUUGACAUAUACGAGAACGGGCCAGAAAUGGUCAACUCUUUGGACACUCGUAAACAGGUGGUGCAUGGUUGUCGUCAGCUCGUGUCGUGAGAUGUUGGGUUAAGUCCCGCAACGAGCGCAACCCUCGUUCUAUGUUGCCAGCACGUAAUGGUGGGAACUCAUGGGAUACUGCCGGGGUCAACUCGGAGGAAGGUGGGGAUGACGUCAAAUCAUCAUGCCCCUUAUGUCUUGGGCUUCACGCAUGCUACAAUGGCCGGUACAAAGGGCUGCAAUACCGCAAGGUGGAGCGAAUCCCAAAAAGCCGGUCCCAGUUCGGAUUGAGGUCUGCAACUCGACCUCAUGAAGUCGGAGUCGCUAGUAAUCGCAGAUCAGCAACGCUGCGGUGAAUACGUUCCCGGGUCUUGUACACACCGCCCGUCAAGUCAUGAAAGUCGGUAACACCUGAAGCCGGUGGCCC